GCCAGCAGCCGCGGUAAUACGGAGGUGGCAAGCGUUACUCGGAAUUAUUGGGUGUAAAGGGCAAGUAGGUGGUUUGUUAAGUGGGGGGUGAAAUGCUCCGGCUCAAUCGGAGAACAGCCCUCCAAACUAUCAAACUUGAGUUUGUCAGAGGAAAGCGGAAUUCCCGGUGUAAGGGUGAAAUCUGUAGAUAUCGGGAAGAACACCAGCAGCGAAGGCGGCUUUCUGGGACAAUACUGACACUGAGUUGCGAAAGCUAGGGGAGCAAACAGAAUUAGAUACUCUGGUAGUCCUAGCCGUAAACGAUGAGCACUAGAUGUUGGUUCCAUUAGGGAUCAGUGUCGCAGCUAACGCAUUAAGUGCUCCACCUGGGGACUACGGUCGCAAGGCUAAAACUCAAAGGAAUUGACAGGGGCCCGCACAAGCGGUGGAACAUGUGGUUUAAUUCGAAGCUACGCGAAAAACCUCACCAGGGCUUGACAUGCAGGAAGUAGUGAAAUGAAAGUGGAACGACCCGUUAAGUCGGGAGCCUGAACAGGUGCUGCAUGGCUGUCGUCAGCUCGUGUCGUGAGAUGUUGGGUUAAGUCCCGCAACGAGCGCAACCAUUAUCCUUUGUUGCCACUUUUAUCGAGCUUGCUCGGUAGAAAGCACUCUAAGGAGACUGCCCGGGAUAACCGGGAGGAAGGUGGAGAUGACGUCA
rnacentral:rRNA from 1 species